AGAUCUCGAUUAGUGAGACUUCGCAAUAGUCGAACGGUCGAUUCGCUGCAUUAUUCGUUUUCAUAUGACGGAUCACCGUUCAAAUAUAGGCCACACGACCGGUGGAUUUCGGCGGCAUGUAGCAAACGUGAUAGUAAACGAAGAAUUCUGUCGAACUGGGAGAAUGGAUAGUGCAGUCGUUUUGGGGAAAUGGAUUUUCUUAUGCCUUUGUUUAUCGCAAUGCGCUUACGCGCGUCGUAUUCUCGAGGAGCCAAGAAUACAUUUUUUGAGUGCAGGUGACGUUGUACAAAAUAAUAAUCCUGGUCUAAAAACAUAUUGUCACAAUGCUUCGUCAAAGUAUUUGACACAUUUGUGGAGAACUAUGACUAUGGAUCUCCAGAUCAAUUCAGACUCUUAUAUUUUGUAUAAUGGUAAAACUCCUCAAGAAAUUCACCAAAAGUAUGAUGAGAAUGAUAAAUCGUGGAAUCUUAAUCUUUUCGAUUCAGGAAAACAUAGACAAUUUAAGAUCAAUCCUUUUGAAGAUACAUGUUUAGGUGUUUACAUAGAUUCUCCCAAUGAAUCUGGCUACAUAAUGAGUUUAAUAGAAACACGUAUUAAUGUUUGGAGACUGACAAUGAUGAUAACGGGCAUUACAGUUUUUUGGUGUGCCAAGAUAUUAAGUCGGAAUUCAUUAUUUUAUUAUGCUUGUGGCAUAAUAUUUGGAGUUACCUUAUCUCUUAUAAUUUUAAUAUAUAUGGCUGGGAAAUUGAUACCACGGGGAAAGACUAUGUAUCUAAUAUUUGCUGCAUCAAUGAGUUUUUAUAUUGCUAAAACAUUAUGGGAAAAUAUGCAAUUAAUUAUAAUGCAAUAUAGAGAAUGGGUGAUGUGGUAUGUUCUUGUUACAUCUUUAAUUAGCUUCAUAAUUUGUUAUCGUUUCGGUCCAGUUACCAAUGUGAGAACAAAACAAAUAAUACAAUGGUUUUUGCAGGAUUGGCACUGGUUUAUCACAGCAGUCACUUCUGUGAAGCAUCUUUUUCAUGUUGCGUUGUACUUAUACUUUUUUAUAAUUUUCCAAAAGCAGCAUUUGAGCGAGCAAAGAGGCGAAACGUGUUUCCGGAAAAGCGAAAAUUAUUAAAUGAAAAUCAAUAUCGUGAAGAAGGAAUACGACAAACUAAGAAAGCUUUAAAAGAAUUACAGGAUUAUUGCUCCAGUCCGGAAUGUAAUCCUUGGAAGACAAUUUUAAGACUGAAAAAUCCAAUAAGAUUUGCGAAAUUUAUGGAAGGAGAAUCGCAUUUGUUGGAAGAGGAAGUCGACGAAUACGAAGAAGAAAUUUCGAAAAUUUUAGAGAAAGAUGAGUAUACAGAUGAUGAUUCUUUCUGAGUACAAAUGCUUAAAUAAGAAUUUUGUAUCAUGCAGAAAUUUAUAUUUACGUUUUACAACUUAAGCCUUAAUAAUAUAUAAAUAGGAUUUAUUUUUUGUUUGUGUGAGUUAAUAAACUUUUUUCACUUCUAGAAACUGUGAAAAAGGUACUUAAGUAAAUUGUUUGCCUAUAUCUUUAUUCAAACAUGUUUCUUUAUGACAGAUUUCACAGAAAUAUAUAUAUUUGUAUAUGUAUGAAAUAA
rnacentral:misc_RNA from 1 species